AACGAACGCUGGCGGCAUGCCUAACACAUGCAAGUCGAACGAGACCUUCGGGUCUAGUGGCGCACGGGUGCGUAACGCGGGGGAACCUGCCCUUAGGUUCGGAAUAACUCCCCGAAAGGGGUGCUAAUACCGGAUAAUGUCUUCAGACCAAAGAUUUAUCGCCUUUGGAUGGGCCCGCGUUGGGUUAGCUAGUUGGUAGGGUAAAAGCCUACCAAGGCGACGAUCCAUAGCUGGUCUGAGAGGAUGAUCAGCCACACUGGGACUGAGACACGGCCCAGACUCCUACGGGAGGCAGCAGUGGGGAAUAUUGGACAAUGGGCGAAAGCCUGAUCCAGCAAUGCCGCGUGAGUGAUGAAGGCCUUAGGGUUGUAAAGCUCUUUUACCCGGGAUGAUAAUGACAGUACCGGGAGAAUAAGCUCCGGCUAACUCCGUG
rnacentral:rRNA from 1 species